GAUGAAGAACGUAGCGAAAUGCGAUAAGUAAUGUGAAUUGCAGAAUUCAGUGAAUCAUCGAGUCUUUGAACGCACAUUGCGCCCCCUGGUAUUCCGGGGGGCAUGCCUGUCCGAGCGUCAUUGCUGCCCUCAAGCUCGGCUUGUGUGUUGGGCUCCGCCCCCCUCCCGGGGGGCGGGCCCGAAAGGCAGCGGCGGCACCGCGUCCGGUCCUCGAGCGUAUGGGGCUUUGUCACCCGCUCUGUAGGCCCGGCCGGCGCCCGCCGGCGACCCCAAUCAAUCUUUCCAGGUUGACCUCGGAUCAGGUAGGGAUACCCGCUGAACUUAAGCAUAUCAAUAAGCGGAGGA
rnacentral:misc_RNA from 1 species